ensembl:lincRNA
UAAGAGGACCGUGGUCACUUCAUCAGCGGCCUUUCCUUUGUCACUGAGACGUCCCUAAGCAGCAGGGCAGCAGCUGAGCAGGAGCCCAGAGGGCUACAGGCCAGGAGGGACUCUGCUCGUUCUGAGUGCUCCUGCCCACCUGCAGGGGGAGCCCCAGAGCCGGAACGAAACUGAAGAGAAUUUUGAAGGCGCCGAGCAACCUCUAAAGCCUGCAAGCGCCAAGAAGGCAGACCCACAACCAAGAACUCUGGCUGUGAGUGACCAGCAGCCCUGGUGCUGUCAUGAGAGACCCCCACCACCUGGUGCUGCCAGGGGAGCGCCCGAUGCGUCAGAAUUCUGGAUGAUGCACCGAGUCAAAGAAGCAUUCCAGACCCACACCUGCAUCCCGACGCCUGGCUCACAAACUCUUCCUCAGCCCUGACUUGGAGCCUGACACAAGAAGCACACCCAACCACGCCAGGCGAUGACCAUGAUCACAGUGGCACAAAAUAACAAAUAAUCUGUUCAUGUCACAAGUGUUGAUUUUUAAAUUGCAGAUUAUUGGUUUUGAUUUUUUUGUGGUUUUGAUGACCUUCAUCUUAAUAAAAUAAUUCUCCUGUGUGAUGACUUUG